UGCAUGGUGGCGCAGUGGGUAGCACUGUUUGCAUUGCAGCAAGAAGGUCCUGGGUUCAAUUCCCAGCCGGGGGUCUUUCUGCAU